CACGCMAGUGCGAUAAGGGGACUCCGAGUGYGWGGGCAUAGAGYCCACRCUUUUGUGUACCGUAAGGAGGUACASGAAUAAGAGCUGGGCAAGACCGGUGCCAGCCGCCGCGGUAAUACCGGCAGYUCGAGUGAUGGCCGAUCUUAUUGGGCCUAAAGCGUCCGUAGCCGGCCGGGCAAGUCCGUUGGGAAAUCUGUUCGCUUAACGAACAGGCGUCCAGCGGAAACUGCUCGGCUUGGGACCGAAAGACCUGAGGGGUACGUCCGGGGUAGGAGUGAAAUCCUGUAAUCCUGGACGGACCGCCGAUGGGGAAACCACCUCAGGAGGACGGAUCCGACGGUGAGGGACGAAAGCUAGGGUCUCGAACCGGAUUAGAUACCCGGGUAGUCCUAGCUGUAAACGAUGUCUGCUAGGUGUGGCACAGGCUACGAGCCUGUGCUGUGCCGUAGGGAAGCCGAGAAGCAGACCGCCUGGGAAGUACGUCCG
rnacentral:rRNA from 1 species